AGAGUUUGAUCCUGGCUCAGGACGAACGCUGGCGGCGUGCCUAAUACAUGCAAGUAGAACGCUGAAGAGAGGAGCUUGCUCUUCUUGGAUGAGUUGCGAACGGGUGAGUAACGCGUAGGUAACCUGCCUUGUAGCGGGGGAUAACUAUUGGAAACGAUAGCUAAUACCGCAUAACAAUGGAUGACACAUGUCAUUUAUUUGAAAGGGGCAAUUGCUCCACUACAAGAUGGACCUGCGUUGUAUUAGCUAGUAGGUGAGGUAAUGGCUCACCUAGGCGACGAUACAUAGCCGACCUGAGAGGGUGAUCGGCCACACUGGGACUGAGACACGGCCCAGACUCCUACGGGAGGCAGCAGUAGGGAAUCUUCGGCAAUGGGGGCAACCCUGACCGAGCAACGCUGCGUGAGUGAAGAAGGUUUUCGGAUCGUAAAGCUCUGUUGUAAGUCAAGAACGGGUGUGAGAGUGGAAAGUUCACACUGUGACGGUAGCUUACCAGAAAGGGACGGCUAACUACGUGCCAGCAGCCGCGGUAAUACGUAGGUCCCGAGCGUUGUCCGGAUUUAUUGGGCGUAAAGCGAGCGCAGGCGGUUUGAUAAGUCUGAAGUUAAAGGCUGUGGCUCAACCAUAGUUCGCUUUGGAAACUGUCAAACUUGAGUGCAGAAGGGGAGAGUGGAAUUCCAUGUGUAGCGGUGAAAUGCGUAGAUAUAUGGAGGAACACCGGUGGCGAAAGCGGCUCUCUGGUCUGUAACUGACGCUGAGGCUCGAAAGCGUGGGGAGCGAACAGGAUUAGAUACCCUGGUAGUCCACGCCGUAAACGAUGAGUGCUAGGUGUUGGAUCCUUUCCGGGAUUCAGUGCCGCAGCUAACGCAUUAAGCACUCCGCCUGGGGAGUACGACCGCAAGGUUGAAACUCAAAGGAAUUGACGGGGGCCCGCACAAGCGGUGGAGCAUGUGGUUUAAUUCGAAGCAACGCGAAGAACCUUACCAGGUCUUGACAUCCCGAUGCUAUUUCUAGAGAUAGAAAGUUACUUCGGUACAUCGGUGACAGGUGGUGCAUGGUUGUCGUCAGCUCGUGUCGUGAGAUGUUGGGUUAAGUCCCGCAACGAGCGCAACCCCUAUUGUUAGUUGCCAUCAUUCAGUUGGGCACUCUAGCGAGACUGCCGGUAAUAAACCGGAGGAAGGUGGGGAUGACGUCAAAUCAUCAUGCCCCUUAUGACCUGGGCUACACACGUGCUACAAUGGUUGGUACAACGAGUUGCGAGUCGGUGACGGCGAGCUAAUCUCUUAAAGCCAAUCUCAGUUCGGAUUGUAGACUGCAACUCGCCUACAUGAAGUCGGAAUCGCUAGUAAUCGCGGAUCAGCACGCCGCGGUGAAUACGUUCCCGGGCCUUGUACACACCGCCCGUCACACCACGAGAGUUUGUAACACCCGAAGUCGGUGAGGUAACCUUUUGGAGCCAGCCGCCUAAGGUGGGACAGGUGAUUGGGGUGAAGUCGUAACAAGGUA
rnacentral:rRNA from 1 species